CCGAUGUAGCUCAGUUGGCAGAGCGAUUGAUUCGUAAUCAGUAGGUCAUGGGUUCAAGUCCCAUCAUCGG
rnacentral:tRNA from 1 species